AGGAGGAGGGGAAGGUAUGGAGUGGAGGCUAUGCCCCUCCUCCUCUCCUGCUCACCUCCCAUUUAGAGGAAAUUUUUCCGCUAGAUUUAGCGGGGAAAUUUUUCCGCUAGAUUUAGUGGGGAAAUUUUUCCGCUAGAUUUAGUAAGGAAAUUUUUCUGCUAGAUUUAGCGGGGAAAUUUUUCCGCUAGGUUUAGCAGGGAAAUUUUUCCGCUAGGUUUAGCGGGGAAAUUUUUCCGCUAGAUUUAGCGGGGAAAUUUUUCCGCUGGAUUUAGUGGGGAAGUUUUUCCG
rnacentral:SRP_RNA from 1 species